CUUUUCACUUUCACAUUUCUUUCUCUUUCUACUUUCUCUUCUCUCUUCUGGUUUCACAUCAAUGAUUAUUUUCUCUUUCUACUUUCUCUUCUCUCUUCUGGUUUCACAUCAAUGACUAUUUUCUCUUUCUCUUUGGAUUUUUAGUUUAUGAACUAUUAUCAUGUGUUUGUUUCAGAUCUUGCAGAAGCACUGCUUGAAUGCAAAGAAAAUGUUCAAGAUCUCUUAUGGUAUGUGCAAUAAAAGACCCUUCCACUUUUUCUACUUUCUACCACCUAUGUUGUGUCAAAUUACUCUAAAGGUUGAAGGAUGCAAAUGUUAGAGCUCGGAUUUGUCACACAUAUUUCAGAUCUGCAAGGUUCUCUAAUCUUUCACAUCUUCAUGCUCUAAAUGGAAUAUUUAUAUUUUGUUUUUAUUUUUAUUUGUCUUCUUCCUUCUUACUUUUUUGUUUCCUAACAUUUAAUCUUAUAUUUUUUUCUUUUUGAUUUCAUGUUUCAGUUGUUGCUUUAUAGAUCUCUUAUGUUUAAGAGGAUUGAAGCAGAUAUAUUUGCUAAGUUUAUUUGUUAAUACUUGAUUUUGAAUAAUUUUAUUUAGCUUAAAGCAAAUUUCAAAUACAAUUAGAAUCAAAUUAAUGUUA